rnacentral:rRNA from 1 species
AUUGAACGCUGGCGGCAUGCCUUACACAUGCAAGUCGAACGGCAGCACGGGUGCUUGCACCUGGUGGCGAGUGGCGAACGGGUGAGUAAUACAUCGGAACAUGUCCUGUAGUAGGGGAUAGCCCGGCGAAAGCCGGAUUAAUACCGCAUACGAUCCACGGAUGAAAGCGGGGGACCUUCGGGCCUCGCGCUAUAGGGUUGGCCGAUGGCUGAUUAGCUAGUUGGUGGGGUAAAGGCCUACCAAGGCGACGAUCAGUAGCUGGUCUGAGAGGACGACCAGCCACACUGGGACUGAGACACGGCCCAGACUCCUACGGGAGGCAGCAGUGGGGAAUUUUGGACAAUGGGCGAAAGCCUGAUCCAGCAAUGCCGCGUGUGUGAAGAAGGCCUUCGGGUUGUAAAGCACUUUUGUCCGGAAAGAAAUCCUUGACUCUAAUACAGUCGGGGGAUGACGGUACCGGAAGAAUAAGCACCGGCUAACUACGUG